rnacentral:rRNA from 1 species
CAAAGGGAGCGAUUCCGGCAACGGAUGGGCAUGCGUGACAUUAGCUAGUUGGCGGGGCAACGGCCCACCAAGGCGACGAUGUCUAGGGGUUCUGAGAGGAAGGUCCCCCACACUGGUACUGAGACACGGACCAGACUCCUACGGGAGGCAGCAGUGAGGAAUAUUGGUCAAUGGGCGCGAGCCUGAACCAGCCAAGUCGCGUGAGGGAUGACGGCCCUACGGGUUGUAAACCUCUUUUGUCGGGGAGCAAAUUCCGUUACGUGUAACGGAGUCGAGAGUACCCGAAGAAAAAGCAUCGGCUAACUCCGUGCCAGCAGCCGCGGUAAUACGGAGGAUGCGAGCGUUAUCCGGAUUUAUUGGGUUUAAAGGGUGCGUAGGCGGACUGUCAAGUCAGCGGUAAAAUACGGGGGCUCAACCUCCGCCCGCCGUUGAAACUGACGGUCUUGAGUGGGCGAGAAGUAUGCGGAAUGCGUGGUGUAGCGGUGAAAUGCAUAGAUAUCACGCAGAACUCCGAUUGCGAAGGCAGCAUACCGGCGCCCAACUGACGCUGAAGCACGAAAGCGUGGGUAUCGAACAGGAUUAGAUACCCUGGUAGUCCACGCAGUAAACCAUGAAUACUAGCUGUCCGGGGCGAAUGAGCCCUGG